rnacentral:rRNA from 1 species
CCUACGGGGCGCAGCAGUGAGGAAUAUUGGUCAAUGGGCGCGAGCCUGAACCAGCCAAGUCGCGUGAGGGAGGACGGCCCUACGGGUUGUAAACCUCUUUUGCCGGGGAGCAACGGGCGCCACGUGUGGCGCCACUGAGAGUACCCGGAGAAAAAGCAUCGGCUAACUCCGUGCCAGCAGCCGCGGUAAUACGGAGGAUGCGAGCGUUAUCCGGAUUUAUUGGGUUUAAAGGGUGCGUAGGCGGAUCGUUAAGUCAGUGGUCAAAUUGAGGGGCUCAACCCCUUCCCGCCAUUGAAACUGGCGAUCUUGAGUGGAAGAGAAGGAUGCGGAAUGCGUGGUGUAGCGGUGAAAUGCAUAGAUAGCACGCAGAACCCCGAUUGCGAAGGCAGCAUGCCGGCUUCCGACUGACGCUGAAGCACGAAAGCGUGGGGAUCGAACAGGAUUAGAUACCCCGAGUAGUC